UUUCAAAGUUCGUGGACCUAA
rnacentral:miRNA from 1 species